rnacentral:rRNA from 1 species
AUUGAACGCUGGCGGCAUGCCUUACACAUGCAAGUCGAACGGCAGCACGGGAGCAAUCCUGGUGGCGAGUGGCGAACGGGUGAGUAAAGUAUCGGAACGUGCCCAGUCGUGGGGGAUAACGUAGCGAAAGUUACGCUAAUACCGCAUACGAUCUAUGGAUGAAAGCGGGGGAUCGCAAGACCUCGCGCGAUUGGAGCGGCCGAGAUCAGAUUAGGUAGUUGGUGGGGUAAAGGCUCACCAAGCCGACGAUCUGUAGCUGGUCUGAGAGGACGAGCAGCCACACUGGGACUGAGACACGGCCCAGACUCCUGCGGGAGGCAGCAGUGGGGAAUUUUGGACAAUGGGCGAAAGCCUGAUCCAGCCAUGCCGCGUGCAGGAUGAAGGCCUUCGGGUUGUAAACUGCUUUUGUACGGAACGAAAAGGUUUGGCCUAAUAAGCUGAGCUCAUGACGGUACCGUAAGAAUAAGCACCGGCUAACUACGUGCCAGCCGCCGCAGUAA